UUAUAAAUAUAAUAUUUGAUCCUUUCGUACUAAAAUAUUUCUUUUAUUUAAGAUAGAAACCAACCUGGCUUACACCGGUUUAAACUCAGAUCAUGUAAAAUUUCAAAGGUCGAACAGACCUAAUAUUUUAGCUUCUACACCAAAAAUAAAUUUUAAUCCAACAUCGAGGUCGCAAACCUUUUUUUCAAUAAGUACUAUUAAAAAGAUUACGCUGUUAUCCCUAAGGUAAUUUAAUCUUUUAAUCAUUUUUUUGGAUCAAUAAUUCAAUUAUUAUUGUAUUAAUAAAAAAAAAGUUAGUUUAAUUUUUUUGUCACCCCAACAAAACUUAAAUUAAAUUAAAAAAUAAAAUUUCUAAAAUUCAUAAUUAAAUUUUUAGUAAAACUCUAUAGGGUCUUCUCGUCUUUAAACUUUAUUUAAGCUUUUUAACUUAAAAAUAAAAUUCUAUUAAUAAAAUUGAAACAGUAAUUUUCUCAUCAAACCAUUCAUACAAGCUUUCAAUUAAAAAACUAAUGAUUAUGCUACCUUUGCACAGUCAAAAUACUGCGGCCCUUCAAAAUUCAGUGGGCAGGCCAAACUUUAAAUUAAAAUC
rnacentral:rRNA from 1 species